rnacentral:rRNA from 1 species
GAUGAACGCUGGCGGCGUGCUUAACACAUGCAAGUCGAACGAUGAAAGCGGGAGCUUGCUCCUGCUGGAUUAGUGGCGAACGGGUGAGUAACACGUGAGCAAUCUGCCCCGAACUCUGGGAUAAGCGUUGGAAACGACGUCUAAUACCGGAUACGACGCGCGAAGGCAUCUUCUGCGCGUGGAAAGAACUUCGGUUCGGGAUGAGCUCGCGGCCUAUCAGCUAGUUGGUGAGGUAACGGCCCACCAAGGCGACGACGGGUAGCCGGCCUGAGAGGGUGACCGGCCACACUGGGACUGGGGCAAGGCCCAGACUCCUACGGGAGGCAGCAGUGGGGAAUAUUGCACAAUGGGCGCAAGCCUGAUGCAGCAACGCCGCGUGAGGGACGACGGCCUUCGGGCUGUAAACCGCUUUUAGUAGGGAAGAAGCGAAAGUGACGGUACCUGCAGAAAAAGCACCGGCUAACUACGUGCCAGCCGCCGCAGUAACAC